rnacentral:rRNA from 1 species
AGGGUUCGAUUCUAGCUCAGGAUGAACGCUGGCGGCGCGCUUAACACAUGCAAGUCGAACGGUUAAAGCACCUCCGGGUGUGCAUAAAGUGGCGAACGGCUGAGUAACACGUGGGCAACCUGCCCCCCGCACCGGGAUAGCCUCGGGAAACCGUGGGUAAUACCGGAUACUCCGCCACCCCCGCAUGGGGGAGGCGGGAAAGCGUACACGGCGGGGGAUGGGCCCGCGGCCUGUUAGCUCGUUGGCGGGGUAACGGCCCACCAAGGCGAUUAUGGGUAGCCGGGUUGAGAGACCGACCGGCCAGAUUGGGACUGAGACACGGCCCAGACUCCUACGGGAGGCAGCAGUGGGGAAUCUUGCACAAUGGGCGAAAGCCUGAUGCAGCCGACGCCGCGUGCGGGAUGAAGGCCCUCGGGUUGUAAACCGCUUUCAGCAGGGACGAGGCGCAAGUGACGGUACCUGCAGAAGAAGCCCCGGCUAACUACGUGCCAGCAGCUGC